GACGUAGGGGGCCAGCGUUGUUCGGAAUUACUGGGUGUAAAGGGUUCGUAGGCGGUGUGGCAAGUCGGGAGUGAAAUCUCUGGGCUCAACCCAGAGUCUGCUUCCGAAACUGCUGUGCUUGAGUGUGGGAGAGGCGCGUGGAAUUGCAGGUGUAGCGGUGAAAUGCGUAGAUAUCUGCAGGAACACCCGUGGCCGAAAGCGGCGCGCUGGACCACUACUGACGCUGAGGAACGAAAGCUAGGGGAGCAAACAGG
rnacentral:rRNA from 1 species